GCAAGUGAGAGACAUUUGGCUGUCACAUCUGUCACCCAUCACUUGCCAGGCAGAUUCAGCUGAUGUGAUUAAGUGGUGUCUCCUUUUUUUUUCCCCUCACCACUCCAGGUGCCUCAGUUCCCAAGCUGAGCGAUCAGUUGAUAAGGACUUUUCCUCUUGGAGGAGAAUGGUCACAGAUGAGGGCAAAUGGCCAGCUGAACUCUCCUGUUACAAUCCCCUCGCCUCCCAGCAUGCUCUUCUGAGAUGCUC
ensembl:misc_RNA Gm23775 predicted gene, 23775